ensembl:snRNA U6 U6 spliceosomal RNA
UUGCUUCAGCAGCACAUAUACUAAAAUUGGAACAAUAUAGAGAAGUUUAGCAUGGCCCCUGCACAA